CUCCACUCCACCUGCUGCCACCUCCACUCCACCUGCUGCCACCUCCACUUCAGAGAAAUAUGUUAGAGAGGCUUGGGACGGCAAAAAUGUUCAUUUUCUGCUGUCCAGAAUCGGACCAUACAAGCUGUUUUAUUGGGACAUCUGUAGGACAACUCCGGGUCAGGAACUUGAGAGUGAGGUGAUCAAUGCCACCCUGUUCAGAAUGGUCCAGAAGCACAAUUGCCAAGGGGGGAAAAAGGCACUUUGCAUUGAUACAUAUGCCAUGACCCAAAUUUGGAACAGGAAGACUUCAAUUCUAAGGAAGUGUGAUCCUUCAUUGUAUGGAGUCAAUCUGGGGGUAGUGACUGAGCCAAAUCAUUGGAUACUCACAGUCAUCUUCCCCUCAGAACAGAGGAGCCUUGUGCUGGAUCCACUCGGCAACGAUGCCUCCAAGAUCACAAGAUGUCUGGAGACCACAAGAGCAUUCAUGAGAGCGAGGGGCUGUACGGUGUCCAGGUGGAAAGCCAACACUGUGCCACAUAGCCUGCAGCAGGAUUCCACUUCAUGUGGAAUAUUUGCCAUCAAAAUACGUUUUUGAAUUGCAUAUUUCCUUACGGAAACAUGAAGCAGAUUUUGAAAAGUAUGCUGAGAAAGUCCUGGCAGAGGAGUCUCCUACUUUCCCAAACUCUGAAGGGGCAGUGGUUAAUUACAGGAGGGAAAUUGCUGUAGCACUUCUCAAUGAGACUGUUAUGUUAACCCUUUUCAAACUUCUAUUAACACCAUGAGGAUUUCAAUAUCAUUAAUUCAAUGAAUAUAAAAAAGUCUAGAAAGUUAGUAUGUAUCACUUAUGGUGUAUUUUCCCAUGGAAAUAAGAAGAAAAUAUUAUAUGCAAUCAAUACCAUAUCUUAACCAGAUGAUCUCAGUGAGCUGUGCCACCACUGUGGAGAGGGAGAAGAAGCGCGAGGGCGGUCUCAAGACAGACCUGAUGCCACUGACUGGAUCCAGUGUGACACCUGUGGAAGGUGGUACCACGAGGGUUGUGUUGGGAGACCUGACAGAGAUCCUAUGUACAGCUGUCCUGCAUGCCACCAGGCUCAAAUGAGUCGUGAGGAUGGACACUGGGAUUUCAGCGGCCCUCACAACCCCCACCACCCCCCCUUCCCGUGAGGAUGGACACUGGGGUUUCAGCGGCCC